rnacentral:rRNA from 1 species
ACGAACGCUGGCGGCGUGCUUAACACAUGCCAGUCGAACGGAAAGGCCCUGCUUUUGUGGGGUGCUCGAGUGGCGAACGGGUGAGUAACACGUGAGUAACCUGCCCUUGACUUUGGGAUAACUUCAGGAAACUGGGGCUAAUACCGGAUAGGAGCUCCUGCUGCAUGGUGGGGGUUGGAAAGUUUCGGCGGUUGGGGAUGGACUCGCGGCUUAUCAGCUUGUUGGUGGGGUAGUGGCUUACCAAGGCUUUGACGGGUAGCCGGCCUGAGAGGGUGACCGGCCACAUUGGGACUGAGUUACGGCCCAGACUCCUACGGGAGGCAGCAGUGGGGAAUAUUGCACAAUGGGCGGAAGCCUGAUGCAGCAACGCCGCGUGCGGGAUGACGGCCUUCGGGUUGUAAACCGCUUUCGCCUGUGACGAAGCGUGAGUGACGGUAAUGGGUAAAGAAGCACCGGCUAACUACGUG